rfam:Angiostrongylus costaricensis strain Costa Rica genome assembly, scaffold: ACOC_contig0002711
GAUCUCGUGGUGUAGUGGUUAUCACAUCUGUCUCACACACAGAAGGUCGGCGGUUCGAGUCCGCCCGAGGUCA